UCUUGGAUCACUGAUCCUGAUCCAGAUCACCCCAAAGGAACGCACCCUAAGUCUAACUGCCCCUGGGUUUCCGAGGAUGACGUUUCAGCCACAGGUUCCAAGCGCGAGCAGCGGAAAGCCACUUGAGCCGACUGUACGAGAGGAUGACCAGCAGUUUCCUUCUCAAAUUCAAGAUGGCGGACGGUGAGUAACCGUCGUGCAACGAAUGUUGUUGUUCUGUUUGCACAAAGGGUGUAUUUAUUCUUUUUGUCUUUAAAGUAAAACUAGGCCGAAGUUUGAGUCCCUUUAUGUUAUUUUUUCGAAUAAAAUUCCAGCUUCCUUCACGGAAAAGGGCUGGAAAAUGUACCCAGUCACGGUACACCGGUACUUCCUUCUCUCUGAAGGUUAAAGACAAACUAAGACUUAAUUUGUUAUUUGCAUGCUUAGCGACAUUGUUGGAACUGUCCUCUCUCUCUAGAGUCCAAGUAGGCAAGUACAGCAAAGGCGCUGACUGAAAUUCUCUCGGAGCAAACUCCAUCAAGCACGUGAUUCUAGUUUUGUGCGGUAUACAUGUAGGAUCGGAGGAGUUGGUAAAAGUGCUGUUUACGACACAGAUAGCAUGGACUCUUUACAACAAAGGAAAGAAGGUUGGCACACAGGAUCAGGAUGGUGAAUUAUGUAGACCAAGUAUUCCAAGGAUGAUAAAUUUAGAGGGAAAAGAUGUACACCAGUGUUCUGCUGGUUGGGUUCCGGUUUACACAGACAAGGACAAAUGAGUGGCUGUUGUGUCAAUUGGUUUCUUGUUUAAUAACAGACUGAGAUGAUGUCGUUGUGUGGAGAGGAUCUAAGAAAGAAUGCAACAAUCAAGCAGCUUCUAUCAGAUGUGUGUUGGGGUGACAGGUCUGGAUUGCCAGAUUAUGGAUACACCUCCAUGGCCAGGUAUGACAACAAUAUAAAAUAUAAUUUUCAGAGACUUGUGAUGUACCCAUGUGUGAGGUAAAACAGACAAGUGGUUAAUGUCGUACACUCUAGAUCAAUAGGCCUGGAUUCCAUGGGUCUCUGUACUGCAUUCUUAGGUGAGAGACUUGACUUGCAAUACCUCAUCACAUAGGAGGAGAAAUGAGUACUAACAAGUUGUUGGGCAACCUGAACUGCAAAAAGAUGGGGAUGUUAAGGAGAUUAAGGGGGAGGGAACAAUACUUCACACUAGGAGACUGGUUUUGACCUCUUUUGAUCAGAGUAGAUAUACUCUUUAUUGUUAACUUUGCUGCUAGUGCAAUUGUGCACAUCUCAUUUUGCAGUAUGCAGUGCAAUGCUAUCAUUAUUGCUCUGUUCUAAGAUUGGUUUUGUUCAAUCCAGGGACAUCUGACGACCACAUUACAGUACUUAGUAGAAAAUCUGCAACAUUAUAAUCCAGAUGAAGCAAUUCUUGUCACUACUCCUCAGGGAAUGCGCAAAUUAUGCAUUUUCAAAAGCAGGAGGUGAAGCCUUGGCAACGAGCUGCGAUGUUCAGCCAUUUUUAGGUAAUAAUAUUUAUUAACAUCAGUGACUACACAGGAAGGGGG
rnacentral:lncRNA from 1 species